rnacentral:rRNA from 1 species
GUGAGGAAUAUUGGACAAUGGGCGCAAGCCUGAACCAGCCAUCCCGCGUGCAGGAAGACGGCGCUAUGCGUUGUAAACUGCUUUUCCAGGGAGAGAAACUUGCGCACGUGUUGCGCAAUUGACGGUACCCUGGGAAUAAGCAUCGGCUAACUCCGUGCCAGCAGCCGCGGUAAUACGGAGGAUGCGAGCGUUAUCCGGAUUCAUUGGGUUUAAAGGGUGCGUAGGCGGACUAUUAAGUCAGUGGUGAAAUCCUGCAGCUUAACUGCAGAACUGCCAUUGAUACUGAUAGCCUUGAGUUUGGUUAAGGUAGGCGGAAUGUGUAAUGUAGCGGUGAAAUGCUUAGAUAUUACACAGAACACCAAUUGCGUAGGCAGCUUACUGAGCCGACACUGACGCUGAGGCACGAAAGCGUGGGGAUCGAACAGGAUUAGAUACCCCAGUAGUCC